rnacentral:rRNA from 1 species
GAGUUUGAUCCUGGCUCAGAUUGAACGCUGGCGGCAUGCCUUACACAUGCAAGUCGAACGGCAGCACGGGAGCUUGCUCCUGGUGGCGAGUGGCGAACGGGUGAGUAAUGCAUCGGAACGUAUCCUGGAGUGGGGGAUAACGUAGCGAAAGUUACGCUAAUACCGCAUAUUCUGUGAGCAGGAAAGCGGGGGACCUUCGGGCCUCGCGCUCUUGGAGCGGCCGAUGUCGGAUUAGCCUAGUUGGUGAGGUAAAGGCUCACCAAGGCGACGAUCCGUAGCAGGUCUGAGAGGAUG